AAGGCACGUGAAAACGACAAGACAGCAGGACUUCCUGGUCACAUGGGGGGCCGAUUUUGCGCCCCCAUGUGACCAGAAGCGUGGUGCCCGGGGACAAGGGAUACCCCUUGUCCCUAGGCAGAUACGUCACUGUAUAGAAAUUCACAGUAGGGCAAAACCCCUUGUCUAGUUCCUUUUUCCUAAGUCUCUGCUCAACCCCUGCAUUUAUUUAAGGUUAACAUGGAAGCAAGCAGUAUAAUGGAGACCUAAGUAAAAUACCUUAAUUUCUGCCCAUCAGAAGUUCCUUUGGCUUAGUUUCUCUGCUACAUUUUGCUAAUAAGCCUUCCUGUAAAUGUCUUUUGCUUUUCUGCUGUCUGUCAAAAUCUGCUACUGUUUUCUGUGUGUCUUAACAAAAACUUACUUUGAAGUUUCUGGGCAGUGAGGCAGUUGAAGGAUUUUUUAAAAAUUUCCCCUCCCACUUUAAAUUGUUCAAUAGGGUUUGCUAGUCUGUAGCUCCUAUUCCAAUCUUUUUUCACUCAUAUACCCCUUGGCAACCCAUUUCCCCAGAAUUUUACUCCCAUAUUAGCAAACCUGUUAUGUAAUUUUUUUCGCGUGCCUCCAAACGCUCUGGCACGUAUCCCAGGUUGGGAACCACUGUUAUAGAGGAUUUGUUCCGAAGAAAGAAUGGCAUUGACCAGCUAUAAUCGUCAAAUAGGUCCUACGUGCUUUUGUUAUUAAGCUGGUGGCAAAUUUGGAAUAUAUUUCUUCAGUUUGAUUUCAUGUUUGUAAACAUGCCACCAUGUCCAAUGGCAAAAUAUCAUGAACUGUACUAGAAUCUAUAACCAGAGCUGUGAAAUUUCUAAGACUGUUGAUGCCACAGGAAACAUUUUUGUUCCUUUUUUUUGGAAAAAGUAAACAAUUUGAAACAUAUGCAGUUCUUAUAAAAGCUAAACUUACUGUUUUAACAGCAUGAUGUAUAAUUUAUGAUUUAGUUUGUGUACAAAACUGAACUGUUUGACACAAUUAAAUAUAAAUGUCUUCGUUUUUUCCUCAAGGCUGUGAAUACAUGGAGAUAUUUAUCAGAGAAGGAGA